rnacentral:misc_RNA from 1 species
GAAAUGCGAUAAGUAGUGUGAAUUGCAGAAUUCAGUGAAUCAUCGAAUCUUUGAACGCACAUUGCGCCCCUUGGUAUUCCAUGGGGCAUGCCUGUUCGAGUGUCAUUUGUACCCUCAAGCUCUGCUUGGUGUUGGGUGUUUGUCCCGUCUCCGCGCGUGGACUCGCCCCAAAGUGAUUGGCAGCCGGCGUACUGGUCCCGGAGCGCAGCACAUGUCGCGCAAACGAGUGCCUUGGUACGGCGGCGUCCAUAAGCCCCUCUCUCACGCUCUUGACCUCGGAUCAGGUAGGGAUACCCGCUGAACUUAAGC